GAUGAACGCUGACAGAAUGCUUAACACAUGCAAGUCAACUUGAACUUCGGUUUGGGUGGCGGACGGGUGAGUAACGCGUAAAGAACUUGCCUCACAGCUAGGGACAACAUUUGGAAACGAAUGCUAAUACCUGAUAUUAUGAUUAUAUGGCAUCGUAUAAUUAUGAAAGCUAUAUGCGCUGUAAGAGAGCUUUGCGUCCCAUUAGCUAGUUGGAGAGGUAACAGCUCACCAAGGCGAUGAUGGGUAGCCGGCCUGAGAGGGUGAUCGGCCACAAGGGGACUGAGACACGGCCCUUACUCCUACGGGAGGCAGCAGUGGGGAAUAUUGGACAAUGGACCGAGAGUCUGAUCCAGCAAUUCUGUGUGCACGAUGAAGUUUUUCGGAAUGUAAAGUGCUUUCAGUUGGGAAGAAAAAAAUGACGGUACCAACAGAAGAAGUGACGGCUAAAUACGUG
rnacentral:rRNA from 1 species